rnacentral:rRNA from 1 species
ACUCCUACGGGAGGCAGCAGUGGGGAAUAUUGCACAAUGGGGGAAACCCUGAUGCAGCCAUGCCGCGUGUGUGAAGAAGGCCUUCGGGUUGUAAAGCACUUUCAGUAGGGAGGAAGGUAGUGUAGUUAACACCUGCAUUAUUUGUACGUUACCUACAGAAGAAGCACCGGCUAACUCCGUGCCAGCAGCCGCGGGUAAUACGGGAGGGUGCGAGCGUUAAUCGGAAUUACUGGGCGUAAAGCGCAUGCAGGCGGCCUGUUAAGUCAGAUGUGAAAGCCCGGGGCUUAACCUCGGAAUUGCAUUUGAAACUGGCAGGCUAGAGUCUUGUAGAGGGGUUAGAAUUUCGAGGUGUAGCGGUGAAAUGCGUAGAGAUCGUAGAAGG